UACAGAGGUCUCGAGCGUUGUUCGGAAUUACUGGGCGUAAAGGGCUCGUAGGCGGCCAACUAAGUCCGACGUGAAAUCCCCAGGCUUAACCUGGGAACUGCGUCGGAUACUGGAUGGCUUGAAUCCGGGAGAGGGAUGCGGAAUUCCAGGUGUAGCGGUGAAAUGCGUAGAUAUCUGGAGGAACACCGGUGGCGAAGGCGGCAUCCUGGACCGGAAUUGACGCUGAGGAGCGAAAGCCAGGGGAGCAAACGGG
rnacentral:rRNA from 1 species